rnacentral:rRNA from 1 species
UACGUAGGGGGCAAGCGUUGUCCGGAAUCAUUGGGCGUAAGGCGCGUGUAGGCGGUUCGGUAAGUCUGCUGUGAAAGUCCAGGGCUCAACCCUGGGAUGCCGGUGGAUACUGUCGGACUAGAGUACGGAAGAGGCGAGUGGAAUUCCCGGUGUAGCGGUGAAAUGCGCAGAUAUCGAGAGGAACACCUGCGGCGAAGGCGGGUUGCUGGGCUGAUACUGACGCUGAGGCGCGAAAGCUAGGGGAGCGAACGGG